rnacentral:snoRNA from 2 species
GUGAUGAUAAAGACCGCUGUCGAGGGGUGAAGAGGGUAUGCAGCGCUGA